rnacentral:rRNA from 1 species
UCCUACGGGGGGCAGCAGUGGGGAAUAUUGCACAAUGGGGGAAACCCUGAUGCAGCGACGCCGCGUGAGUGAAGAAGUAUCUCGGUAUGUAAAGCUCUGUCAGCAGGGAAGAAAAUGACAGUACCUGACCAAGAAGCCCCGGCUAACUACGUGCCAGCAGCCGCGGUAAUACGUAGGGGGCAAGCGUUAUCCGGAUUCACUGGGCGUAAAGGGAGCGCAGGCGGCACGGCAAGUCUGAUGUGAAAACCCGGGGCUCAACCCCGGGCCUGCAUGGGAAAC